rnacentral:lncRNA from 1 species
CAUUCUCCCAGCAACGCCGACGUCAUCCAAGAAUUAACCCAAGCCAGAGGACGGGCAUCGCCACCCAGCAACGCCAGUGUCACCGAAGAAUUAACCCAAGCCAGAGGACGGGCAUCACCACCCAGCAAUGCCAGUGUCACCGAAGAAUUAACCCAAGCCAGAGGACGGGCAUCGCCAUGCCUUCAUCUUCGGACACUCUCAAAAAAGAUAAGCUUCUGCCCAGAAACACCACAGGUUCAAGCUCAUCACUCAGGGAG